rnacentral:tRNA from 1 species
GGGGAUUUAGCUCAGCGGCAUAAGCACCUGCCUUGCAAGCAGGUGGUCGUGAGUUCAAUUCCCA